rnacentral:misc_RNA from 1 species
UUGUUGAAUUUUAUUAUUAAUUAGGUAGUAUAAUCUUAGACCGUGAUUUUAUAUAAAUCAAUUAAUCAGAUGACCGAAAUAACCAAAUAUAUUUUCCAAGUUACGAUAACGAGUUAUGUCCUAUUUGAAUGGUUUUAAAUUUAAACUUUUUGAACACUUCAUAAUGCACGGUCGAUACAAACCAGUUGUACGUCUGGAUCUAGCUGUGGGUUGUGUACCAAUGCGCUUGUUUCCAAUCAAUUUAAGUUUCUUGGAAGUUGGAUCAAGACCAGAAUAUUUACCAAAUGUCAUCAUAGCUGAAAGAAGACUAGCAUGUGUCUUUACAUUCUUAUUAAAUGAAUUGAGUAAUUGCUUUAAUUCCAGGUGUAAAUAUUUACUGAUAUGGAUUGGGGUUGCUUUAGAAUUGAACCAUACCACACAUUUUCAAUUUCUGAGCUUCCAGUGGCAAUUAUGUGUAAUGUUUUUCUGGUUUCUUCAUUAGUUGGUAAACAAAGCGUAAGAUCAACAUUUAAGCUUGAUGCAACAAAUAUCUGGUGUUUGCAAGGUUUACCAGUACAACCUUCUGGACAUGAACAAAUCCCUAAAUCCAGGUCUACAUGGGCGAUUAGCUGCAAUAUCUAACAACUUCAUUUCAUAAAAUGCAUCAAGAUCAUUAACGAUAAAAAAAAAUAACUGUACUGGAGAAUAUGCCUUUGUUCUGUCAAGUAUUGUAUCUUUUACAAUCUUAACUCCUGCUUCACAGAUGUUAUUUGUGUUUUGUCCACGUGUAAUCAAUGACUGUCUUAAGCAAAGUGCCCAUUCAUGACGUCGCUGAAAUAAACCUACUACAUAACUCUCAAACCUAGAAUAUUGUUUUGUCAAGUCAUCGUUCAUAAUUUCUUGAAUUUGACGAUGCUGUAAUAUUAUUCCAUGAUGAGAGUCCCAUAAGUACCGCCAAGCUGCCUGUAAUUAGAGAAGAUGUUUAAAUUAAUAUUUUAGAAUUAAAGUUCUUAGAUCUUUGACUUUGAGAAUGGUCGAGGCGAAUGGUAUGCGUAAGAAAAAACUAAAAAUAAUCAUUGUUAUGUUAUAUUAUAUUUUAUAUCCCUACCUGUAAUACGUGAAAUAUGCACAAUAGCAGAGUUGAUUGAGGAAAAGCUUCACGUAGUGCAUUUCUCUCUGCAGCUGAAUCAUCAGACAUAAAAAUUUUCGGUCCAUUUAUUCCCCUUCCACCUAAUGCAUGUUGUGGGAGCAACUUUUUCCAUAAUUCCAAUCCUAAUGAAAUAAUCUUUGAUGAUUCACUGGUCAAUAUUAAUGUACAAAUUAAAAGUCCACCAGCACAACUAUUUGUAUAAAUUAGGAAAAUUUUGCACCCAUAUCGAUCAACAUUUCCAGAAGCAUCAAUAAAUAAUAUUUCUCCACUUUCAUGUACACCGGUACUUAUUCGUUUCAUGAGUGGACUUGCGAUAACAAUAGCAAAAUUUCCAUCCUCAAGGGUCUCCAUCAGAGCACAAGUAGAACUACAUUCAUCAUUAUAUUGAUUUACUGCAUUUCUCAGCGAUUCCAUCAUUGGUUCACCAUGUGAUGCACCAAAAUAUUGAUUAAAAGUCUUAUAAUAUAGAUUAUAAACCCAUUCUGGAUUUGGAAGUUCUCCACGGUCACCAGCAUAAACAUAAUAAUUAUUUCCUUUUUCAAUACGUAAUUGUGUUUUGAAAGAAAAUAGAGCUUUUGCCGGUGUUUUACCCUCUUCAAAGAAUUUUAAAAAUGUAGCUUUUACUUCUUCUGAUGGUUUUCUGUAUUUCAAAACAUCAGCUCUCAUAAUUUCAUGGUUAUGUAUGAAUUUAAAAUCAACAAUUGCUUUGGUAUUUUCAACUACCAUAUUUUCAUUAUCUUCUCCACUUUAAAAUAAAAAAAACCAUUAACCAUAAAUAUUUUAAAAUAUUGCACCCUUAGAACAAGCCCACCACAAAUUAAUAUUUAUCUAUGUUGCUCUAAUGUUACGACCUAUGAUAUAAUACAUAAAUUAAUAAUUUUGUUUUACUAACAGAUCAUAUACUUGUUCCAUUUCAUGUUCAACAAUUUGUAUGCAAAUAGUAGAUUUACAAUUAAAAUGUUUAGAACAGGGGGUUGCAGUUUUCUUUGGCCUUGUGUUAUGAUGACAACGAUACCUUUUCUAAAAAAGUUAUACAAAUAUUGUUAUGUAAUUAGCUUUAGAUUUUAUAAUUUAUAAAAUAUAAAAAUAAUGUAAAAUAAUAAAUAUUUCUAAACAACUAAGAGUUAGGUACCGUGUGACAUAGUAAUGAUGAAUUACCUUAAACAGAACACUUGGUAAUUCAGAUUUUCUUA